GUCGGGAGCGCCGAGCUGUCAUCCGCGUUCCCUGUCAGAAGGAUCUCACUAUCGAGAACAGACUGGCCUCGUACUUGCGGCAAUCCUGUCUCAGCCUCCCAGCUGCUGAAAUGACAGGAGUGCUGAGGACUUGUCUGCAUAGCAGGCAUCAUACUGAGCCAUCUCUACAGACCUUCCCCAAUUUUUUUCUCAGUGUUGGGAAUUAACUGAAGACCUCACCCAUGCUAGAUCAUCUCAAAAUUAAAUGUUUCUAAAUACACCCAUAGCCCUUGCCACCUUUGUUUUUUGUGGUGUUUUUGAGACAGUGUCUCAGUAUGUAACCCCGUCUCCUGGACAUCACUAUG